CGCCGAAGGUGGGGCUGAUGACUGGGGUGAAGUCGUAACAAGGUAGCCGUACCGGAAGGUGCGGCUGGAUCACCUCCUAACAGGGAGACAAUAAAUUGAUUGUGAUGUCUAAGUUAUUUAUUCUUAGGCCGCAAUCCUGUCACCUUAAGGUCGAUCGGUACCUCAGAUUUCUGAAUCAGUUUUAUAAUUGAUUCUUUGAUUUCAGUUCCUAAACUUGUCUAGGUCACACCCAACAAAGGUUUCUCCUGGGCCAUUAGCUCAGGUGGUUAGAGCGCACCCCUGAUAAGGGUGAGGUCCCUGGUUCAAGUCCAGGAUGGCCCAUUCGUUGUUGGGGGUAUAGCUCAGUUGGUAGAGCGCCUGCUUUGCAAGCAGGAUGUCAGCGGUUCGAGUCCGCUUACCUCCACUGAAAACUAUCCUGAUAACUAAAUUUCUGGAGAAAAAAAUUGUAGAUGUGGCUUAGAUUUGUCUACUUGAAAAGAACCUAGCUUCUUGUCAUCUUUUUAUAGUUGAUAAAAUGCUGGGCUCGCAUGGAUUAUUUCCAUGAGAAUUCAGUAGAACCUUGAAAACUGCAUAGAUUAGAAAGAAUAAAGCAUCUCAUGGAUGCAUAGUUCUGUUUUUAUAAUUUAGCCUUAAAACUAAAUUAUUUAAUUCUAGAAUUCAUGUUUAAUUCUUGAGUAAUAGCCGAGCACAAUUGAUUUUGUGAUUGUAUUUAAGGUCAAGCUACAAAGGGCUCA
rnacentral:misc_RNA from 1 species